GAUGAACGCUAGCGAUAGGCCUAACACAUGCAAGUCGAGGGGCAUCACAUGAAGUAGCAAUACGGAUGGUGGCGACCGGCGCACGGGUGAGUAACACGUAUGCAACCUGCCUUCAACAAGGGGAUAACCCGUUGAAAGACGGACUAAUACCCUAUAACACAGGGGUCCCGCAUGGGAAUAUUUGUUAAAGGACAACCGGUUGAAGAUGGGCAUGCGUUCCAUUAGCUAGUUGGCGGGGUAACGGCCCACCAAGGCAACGAUGGAUAGGGGAACUGAGAGGUUUAUCCCCCACACUGGUACUGAGACACGGACCAGACUCCUACGGGAGGCAGCAGUGAGGAAUAUUGGUCAAUGGACGCAAGUCUGAACCAGCCACGUCGCGUGAAGGAAGACGGCCCUACGGGUUGUAAACUUCUUUUAACGGGAAUAAAGUGCCCCACGCGUGGGGUUUUGCAUGUACCGUAUGAAUAAGGAUCGGCUAACUCCGUGCCAGCAGCCGCGGUAA
rnacentral:rRNA from 1 species